rnacentral:tRNA from 1 species
GUGCAUGUAGCUCAGUGGUAGAGUUCAUGCCUAGCAUGUUGAGGCCCUGGGUUCAAUCCCAGCACCCUCU